GGGCGGUUAGCUCAGUCGGUAGAGCGCCACGCUUACACCGUGGAUGUCGGCGGUUCGAGCCCGUCACCGCCCACCA
rnacentral:tRNA from 1 species